GCGGUCGUGGCGAAGUGGUUAACGCAUCGGCUUGUGGCGCCGACAUUCGUGGGUUCGAUUCCCAUCGGCCGCCCCA
rnacentral:tRNA from 2 species